rnacentral:rRNA from 1 species
GACGUGCUAAUCUGCGAUAAGCGUCGGUGAGGUGAUAUGAACCGUUAUAACCGGCGAUUUCCGAAUGGGGAAACCCAGUGUGUUUCGACACACUAUCAUUAACUGAAUCCAUAGGUUAAUGAGGCGAACCGGGGGAACUGAAACAUCUAAGUACCCCGAGGAAAAGAAAUCAACCGAGAUUCCCCCAGUAGCGGCGAGCGAACGGGGAGGAGCCCAGAGCCUGAAUCAGUGUGUGUGUUAGUGGAAGCGUCUGGAAAGGCGCGCGAUACAGGGUGACAGCCCCGUACACAAAAAUGCACAUAUUGUGAGCUCGAUGAGUAGGGCGGGACACGUGGUAUCCUGUCUGAAUAUGGGGGGACCAUCCUCCAAGGCUAAAUACUCCUGACUGACCGAUAGUGAACCAGUACCGUGAGGGAAAGGCGAAAAGAACCCCGGCGAGGGGAGUGAAAAAGAACCUGAAACCGUGUACGUACAAGCAGUGGGAGCCUCUUAAUGGGGUGACUGCGUACCUUUUGUAUAAUGGGUCAGCGACUUAUAUUCUGUAGCAAGGUUAACCGAAUAGGGGAGCCGAAGGGAAACCGAGUCUUAACUGGGCGUUAAGUUGCAGGGUAUAGACCCGAAACCCGGUGAUCUAGCCAUGGGCAGGUUGAAGGUUGGGUAACACUAACUGGAGGACCGAACCGACUAAUGUUGAAAAAUUAGCGGAUGACUUGUGGCUGGGGGUGAAAGGCCAAUCAAACCGGGAGAUAGCUGGUUCUCCCCGAAAGCUAUUUAGGUAGCGCCUCGUGAAUUCAUCUCCGGGGGUAGAGCACUGUUUCGGCAAGGGGGUCAUCCCGACUUACCAACCCGAUGCAAACUGCGAAUACCGGAGAAUGUUAUCACGGGAGACACACGGCGGGUGCUAACGUCCGUCGUGAAGAGGGAAACAACCCAGACCGCCAGCUAAGGUCCCAAAGUCAUGGUUAAGUGGGAAACGAUGUGGGAAGGCCCAGACAGCCAGGAUGUUGGCUUAGAAGCAGCCAUCAUUUAAAGAAAGCGUAAUAGCUCACUGGUCGAGUCGGCCUGCGCGGAAGAUGUAACGGGGCUAAACCAUGCACCGAAGCUGCGGCAGCGACACUAUGUGUUGUUGGGUAGGGGAGCGUUCUGUAAGCCUGUGAAGGUGGCCUGUGAGGGUUGCUGGAGGUAUCAGAAGUGCGAAUGCUGACAUAAGUAACGAUAAAGCGGGUGAAAAGCCCGCUCGCCGGAAGACCAAGGGUUCCUGUCCAACGUUAAUCGGGGCAGGGUGAGUCGACCCCUAAGGCGAGGCCGAAAGGCGUAGUCGAUGGGAAACAGGUUAAUAUUCCUGUACUUGGUGUUACUGCGAAGGGGGGACGGAGAAGGCUAUGUUGGCCGGGCGACGGUUGUCCCGGUUUAAGCGUGUAGGCUGGUUUUCCAGGCAAAUCCGGAAAAUCAAGGCUGAGGCGUGAUGACGAGGCACUACGGUGCUGAAGCGACAAAUGCCCUGCUUCCAGGAAAAGCCUCUAAGCAUCAGGUAACAUCAAAUCGUACCCCAAACCGACACAGGUGGUCAGGUAGAGAAUACCAAGGCGCUUGAGAGAACUCGGGUGAAGGAACUAGGCAAAAUGGUGCCGUAACUUCGGGAGAAGGCACGCUGAUAUGUAGGUGAAGCGACUUGCUCGUGGAGCUGAAAUCAGUCGAAGAUACCAGCUGGCUGCAACUGUUUAUUAAAAACACAGCACUGUGCAAACACGAAAGUGGACGUAUACGGUGUGACGCCUGCCCGGUGCCGGAAGGUUAAUUGAUGGGGUUAGCGGUAACGCGAAGCUCUUGAUCGAAGCCCCGGUAAACGGCGGCCGUAACUAUAACGGUCCUAAGGUAGCGAAAUUCCUUGUCGGGUAAGUUCCGACCUGCACGAAUGGCGUAAUGAUGGCCAGGCUGUCUCCACCCGAGACUCAGUGAAAUUGAACUCGCUGUGAAGAUGCAGUGUACCCGCGGCAAGACGGAAAGACCCCGUGAACCUUUACUAUAGCUUGACACUGAACAUUGAGCCUUGAUGUGUAGGAUAGGUGGGAGGCUUUGAAGUGUGGACGCCAGUCUGCAUGGAGCCGACCUUGAAAUACCACCCUUUAAUGUUUGAUGUUCUAACGUGGGCCCCUUACCGGGGUUGCGGACAGUGUCUGGUGGGUAGUUUGACUGGGGCGGUCUCCUCCUAAAGAGUAACGGAGGAGCACGAAGGUUGGCUAAUCCUGGUCGGACAUCAGGAGGUUAGUGCAAUGGCAUAAGCCAGCUUGACUGCGAGCGUGACGGCGCGAGCAGGUGCGAAAGCAGGUCAUAGUGAUCCGGUGGUUCUGAAUGGAAGGGCCAUCGCUCAACGGAUAAAAGGUACUCCGGGGAUAACAGGCUGAUACCGCCCAAGAGUUCAUAUCGACGGCGGUGUUUGGCACCUCGAUGUCGGCUCAUCACAUCCUGGGGCUGAAGUAGGUCCCAAGGGUAUGGCUGUUCGCCAUUUAAAGUGGUACGCGAGCUGGGUUUAGAACGUCGUGAGACAGUUCGGUCCCUAUCUGCCGUGGGCGCUGGAGAACUGAGGGGGGCUGCUCCUAGUACGAGAGGACCGGAGUGGACGCAUCACUGGUGUUCGGGUUGUCAUGCCAAUGGCACUGCCCGGUAGCUAAAUGCGGAAGAGAUAAGUGCUGAAAGCAUCUAAGCACGAAACUUGCCCCGAGAUGAGUUCUCCCUGACUCCUUGAGAGUCCUGAAGGAACGUUGAAGACGACGACGUUGAUAGGCCGGGUGUGUAAGCGCAGCGAUGCGUUGAGCUAACCGGUACUAAUGAACCGUGAGGCUUAACCUUACAACGCCGAAG